UACGGAGGGAGCGAGCGUUGUCCGAAGUUACUGGGCGUAAAGCGCGCGUAGGCGGGGGAUUAAGUGAGAAGUGAAAGGCUGAGGCUCAACCUCAUGCAGUGCUUCUCAUACUGGUCCUCUUGAGGGUGGUAGAGAGAAGUGGAAUGGCUGGUGUAGCGGUGAAAUGCGUAGAUAUCAGGAGGAACACCGGUGGUGUAGACGGCUUACUGGACCACGACUGACACUGAGGCACGAAAGCGUGGGUAGCAAACAGG
rnacentral:rRNA from 1 species